AACGCUCCCACUACGACAUGGUUCUCACAAUCUUAGGUACUAAGUUGAUUUUAUUAGUGCAACUUCACCAACUUCAUACCGUUCUCUCAUCGUUGUGCCGAGGUAAACCACCAGAUUAUUUCCGCCUCAUCACACUCAAAUCUUUGUAAUCUUUUCUGAUGGCGGAAUACUUAGGGUGAUCGGACAGGUAUAACACCAAGGCCAUUUCCAUCAUUUCACCAAAUUGUUACCCAAAUACAAAGGUUGAGCGGCGACGAGCUUGGGUGGUGUUGAGUCGAACCUUAAUUUUUGUUGGAUUUAUUUUGAACUCCGAGGGGCGUCGUGUCUUCAUUCAUGGUGUCACUCUUACUCUUGAAUGCUUCCGAUGAAUUAUGACUAUUUUUCACCAUUAUGUUUUUUUGAACUCCUUUUUGCUCUUGGAUUAUAAAUUAUGAUAAUUGUUGACUUUGGAUUUAAAACCUAAGCUUUUACUCUGAUUUUCCCUCGUCAUUUGAAUAUUAAUUAUCUUU